rnacentral:lncRNA from 1 species
AUCUCAUUCCUUCUACUUCACAGGGAAAUUAGGAGAAAGGGAAAGAAAACAACUUGGGCGCUGUGGUGAUAAGGUUUUCAAAGAGAGUACUCAAGAAUCCUUCCCCUGAAGAAAGUCUAGAAACCCCAUUUGAACACUGUAGUCUAAACUGCCUCACAGCCCACUGAAAUGAAAGCAAGAAGUCAAGGUGGUAAACGGAACACUACUAAGGAAGCGAUGCCCUCAUGCUUCUCCUCCUCUUGUCCUGGGCAAAACUCAAAAUGCUGCAACAAAGCCUUAGAGUUGGCCUGCAGUGCAUGCAUACUGUGCGUUUCUUGUCCGCUAUCCAUUGUGUGGUGCUGCAUCAAGCUGCCAUGCACCAUUGCAUGGAGGGCUGCAAAGCGCGUAAGCCAUGGGGCUUGUUUCUCAUCAGAGAAGAGGAUUUUAUCAGCAUAUUCUUCGUUUUCAGACAUCGAUUCUCCGAGGAACAGCACGCAGCAGAGGGGUAGCCUCUCGGCGGGAAGCUGGAUUUCAAAGUAAAAACCUACUUAGUUUAUCAUCUCCUGUAGCUUACUACAUUUAUUUAGCUCUAUAUGUUACAAAGCAUGGUUUCCUCCAUUUGUUUUUUUGGAAUUUUUAGAAAAAGUAAAAUUUUUUUGUCAAGAAUGGGAUUCGAACCCAUGCCCUUUCGGACCAGUACCUGAAACUGGCGCCUUAGACCAACUCGGCCAUCUUGACUUUGAUAAGCAUCGUAGCAAAAUAAACUUUAUUUAAAGAUUAAAAUUUCUUUUUAAAGAUUAAAUUGUCAAGAGUGUUUAUAUAAAAAAAAAAAUAUAAAAAUAUAAAAAUUUAUUGAAUGUACUUUUCUUCAAUUUUUUUUCAUACUUAUUUUCUUUCAUAUCUAUUUCAAAUAUAUAUAUAGAAAGAACUUUAUAAUAUCUAUAUUAAGAAAAUUUCAGGAUAUUAAUUCAAUUUUUACUAAAAUUAUAAUUUCACCUAUUGUAAGAUUAAAAUACAAAAAAAAAAAAUGAUUAUAUAUAUAAAUAAAUAAAUAAAUCAAAUCACAAAACAAUGAAAGUAAAAAUAUAAUAAGAUUAAAUUAUAUGAUGUAGUGGGUUAUCAUGAGUCUUACAUUGUGAUAAGUACAACUUAUAAGUAGGCAGACAUGAUUUCAAUAAUACUAGGACACGUCAUGGUGAUAUUGCAUUAUGAUUUAGGCAAUGAAAGAGUGGUACCAACCUUGGAAUCCGAAUUAGGACUAGGAUAAAUGCAUCAAAUUGGUGGACAGGAUUCAUGG